rnacentral:rRNA from 1 species
CCUACGGGAGACAGCAGUGAGGAAUAUUGGUCAAUGGCCGGAAGGCUGAACCAGCCAAGCCGCGUGAGGGAGGAAGGCGCAGAGCGUCGCAGACCUCUUUUGCCGGGGGACAAAAGGCCGGACUCGUCCGGUCCUGAGGGUACCCGGAGAAAAGGCAUCGGCUAACUCCGUGCCAGCAGCCGCGGUAAUACGGAGGAUGCGAGCGUUAUCCGGAUUCAUUGGGUUUAAGGGGUGCGCGGGCGGGCCUUUAAGACGGCGGUGAAAUCGCGGGGCUCAACCCCGCCGAGCCGUGGGAACUGGGGGCCGUGAGUGCGGAGGAGGCAAGCGGAAUGCGCGGUGUAGCGGUGAAAUGCAUAGAUAUCGCGCAGAACACCGAUUGCGAAGGCAGC